AGAGCGGGAGCCCGGAGAUGGGCACUGAGACAAGGGCCCAGGCCCUACGGGGCGCAGCAGUUGCGAAAACUCCGCAAUGCGCGAAAGCGUGACGGGGCUACCCCGAGUGCCGUCCGCUGAGGACGGCUUUUCCACGGUGUAAGGAUCCGUGGGAAUAAGGAGAGGGCAAGCCUGGUGUCAGCCGCCGCGGUAAAACCAGCUCUCCGAGUGGUGGGGACGAUUAUUGGGCUUAAAGCGUUCGUAGCCGGCUCAGCAAGUCUUUCGUUAAAUCCAGUGACUUAAUCGCUGGGCUGCGGGAGAUACUGUUGGGCUAGGGGGCGGGAGAAGCCGACGGUACUCUCGGGGUAGGGGUGAAAUCCUAUAAUCCCGGGAGGACCACCAGUGGCGAAGGCGGUCGGCU
rnacentral:rRNA from 1 species